rnacentral:rRNA from 1 species
AAUUUUGGACAUUGGGGGAAACCCUGAUCCAGCCAUCCCGCGUGUAUGAUGAAGGCCUUCGGGUUGUAAAGUACUUUUGGCAGAGAAGAAAAGGUCUCCCCUAAUACGGGAUACUGCUGACGGUAUCUGCAGAUUAUGCACCGGCUAACUCCAUGCCCGCCGCCGCGCAAAGACGUAGGGGGCAAGCGUUAAUCGGAAUUACUGGGCGUAAAGCGUGUGGAGGCGAUUCGGAAAGAAAGAUGUGAAAUCCCAGGGCUCAACCUUGGAACUGCAUUUUUAACUGCCGAGCUAGAGUAUGUCAGAGGGGGGUAGAAUUCCACGUGUAGCAGUGAAAUGCGUAGAUAUGUGGAGGAAUACCGAUGGCGAAGGCAGCCCCCUGGGAUAAUACUGACGCUCAGACACGAAAGCGUGGGGAGCAAACAGG